rnacentral:lncRNA from 7 species
AAACAUAGGAACUUGAUCUCCUGCAUGGUUCCAGGCAGGUUUUGGCCAGACAACCCACAGCUCUCCCAUAUGAGUGCUGGGCACAGCCUGGGAACUGGCUUGGGCUACAAUAGCUGCUCAGCAAAUACCUGGACACAGACACCUGUUUUGUAGGGACUCUGCUGAGCUGCUGUUUAUCUUACUGCUCCCAGACCAAAGACUUUCAAAACAGGUCCAGUUGCUUGGUGUCAGCUGUGACCUUCCAUUGGUCAUGAAUGUAUUCCUGAGCCCAAAAGCAUGGAGGUCCUGGAAACUCAUAUUUUUCAGAAUUAGCAAACAUGAGUUUCAUGCAUUAAAUGUUCACACCUCAUCUGUUGGAGGAUUCCUGUGUAAAGGUUUACAAUUUAUUUUGUUUUAUGAGAAUUUCCAACUCAGAAUGUCUGAAUCCUGAAGUGCCUUAUAAACAGAAGUGUUGUGAUGCAAGAUGACAGACAAAUGGACAUUCAGAACUCACAUAAUUUCUCAGCUGAAAACCAAAGAAAACACUGGGACUGCUAAAAUGAAAACAAGUACAUCUUAUUGGGCACUUUUAUUUCAUCUUGAAGAGCAACACUACCCUUAUGGCUUAUCUGCUACCAGUUAGCAUUUAACAUUUGAUGAAGAUCGAGUAUAAAUAUAUUACAGCAAAUAUUGUCCUUAUAUUUCUAUCAAUUUCCUCAAAUGUGUGUUCGUGCAACUGCUACUUAGUAUUCUGAAGCUGAUAAUUUUUAAUUCUGCACUACAUGUGUCAGCUUCUUUGAUAAAAAGCUCCAUGGACAUGGGAAGGAGUGCAGAAGAUCAAUGACAGAUGAAUAACGCCCAGCCCCAUCUCCUCCCAGACUGAUUCCUGGACAGCGUGCAGCCCAGUGACUAAACCCAGUUACUGACAAUAUCCACACACCAUGCAUGUAUGUACAAUUCUACAGAAGGUGUUGAAGUAUCCAAAUAUAAACCACAUGUACCAUCACAGGCCUUGUAUUCUGAAAAUCACAGCAGCUGAAUACAUGACAGUGGCUCAGAGCCGCUCCUUGUCAUUGAGCAGUCUUAGAUAGACAAAAAAUCUCAGAAAUGUUUGAAUUGGAGUUCAGUGGAGUUCAAAUCAAUGUCUUCCAUGUUUUGCCCAGUGAAGACUGUGAGCAGCUCACUUUUCUUGGUAAAGAUAUCCAUACAUAUGACCUUAGAGGAAGGGCUGGACUAACUCUUACCUGUGUUGACUAUACACCAUCCCUACCUACAUCUUCAAAAUCUCUGCUACAAGUCUUAAGGUCAGAAUUCAAAGGACUUCAUUUCACAGUUUUCUCAGAGAUAGUGGAGCAUUAAGGAUGUAAAUUUUAGCAAUGUUUUUAAGCAAUAAUUGUUUUUCAAAGUUGUAUGGAGUUGUACUUCACAGCUAUCAUUCCUGCAUAGAUCAUCUUUGAAGUCUCUUCACAGAUUUGUACCAGCCUCACUAAAAAAACAAGGAAUGCUGAUUUAGGUUUGACCUGACAGCCAUAAUCACUUCUUUCUGUAAGCUAUUAUUUCACGUGGAUAAAAAGGGUGAAUAUAUCUCGCAUAAUGUCAGUGGCAUUACAGCUGGAGAAUUUGGAGGGCAAGCUGAGCAAAGUAAACACUGACAACAUAGGUGAGAUUUAAUUUGUCCUGCAUUUGCAGUUAUUAAAAUACGUCUACAACAUAGAAUCCAUAACUCUGUCCUCAUACUUGAGCAGCUAUGUGAUAAACCAUAAAUCCCACACCACUCUGCUCCCUGUUUGCAGUUGCUGUUGAUUCCCAUGGAAAGGCAAUGGCACUUUAGGAAAAAAAAAUAACAGUGCUGCUCUAUUUGAGUACUUGAAAACAUUUCCCAUUUAUCUCCAGACAAGUCGAUCACUCAAAGGGACUUUCAAAUACCAAAAAAAUCAAUAGAGUAAUUUAUCAACUGCAUUUGUGCACAGCCACAGUCACAGGCAACUGCUGCUUAUGGUUGCUAUUUGUGAUUGUUGGUGUCUGAGAGAUCUUGAGAUAAAUAAAUAGAGCAGUCAUUAGGCCUUCUCUCAAAAGCUACACAUACACAAAUAUGCCCUGUAGUACUAAGAAUACAACAGAUCUUUAAAAUCAGGCCAACCAAAUAAUAUAUAGUCUGUCACCCUACUUCUUCAGCUGACAAGAUAUUUAUAGAGUAAUGAAUACUUUGAAUGCACCAAAAAAUGAGAAUAAGAGUUGCUGGAUUAUCAAACUACAGAAAAAUGUCUAAUCAGUUCAUCUUGUCUCCCUAGAGCUCUUUUAGUCACAGUGCUUUUAAGAUCUUUUCUCAAAUAUAUUACUUUGGAUGAAUUUUUAAGAAAAUGGAAUUUUAAAGGAUAGAAGAGCCAGAUCUGGAUGUGAUGUUUGUUUGGAAAAGAAAACGAUCACCAGCUGUGUCUGCUAUUUCGAAUGCUUUGAAGGAAACUAUCUUUAACUCACAGAACAGGUUUGCAUUUGGUACUCUGCAUGCAUUCUGCACUCUGGAUGGCAGUGGGAGAUCACAAGGAUGACCAUACCACACAGCUCCUCACAGCAGCCUGCAGGAGACUUCAGCUGUGUUUCACAGAUGCACUUUGGAGCUUCUGUUUUUCUUAGAAAUUGAUAGAAAAUGUGAAAACUAGACCCUGGAUUAAAAAAUCACCAUGUUUCUGUGUUCU